rnacentral:rRNA from 1 species
UACGUAGGGUGCAAGCGUUGUCCGGAAUUAUUGGGCGUAAAGAGCUCGUAGGCGGUCUGUCGCGUCGGCUGUGAAAUCUCGGGGCUCAACCCCGAGCCUGCAGUCGAUACGGGCAGACUAGAGUGCUGUAGGGGAGACUGGAAUUCCUGGUGUAGCGGUGAAAUGCGCAGAUAUCAGGAGGAACACCGGUGGCGAAGGCGGGUCUCUGGGCAGUUACUGACGCUCAUGCACGAAAGCGUGGGGAGCAAAC